rnacentral:rRNA from 1 species
UACGUAGGGUGCAAGCGUUGUCCGGAAUUAUUGGGCGUAAAAAGCUCGUAGGUGGCCUGUCGCGUCGGCUGUGAAAACUCGGGGCUCAACUCCGAGCUUGCAGUCGAUACGGGCAGGCUAGAGUUCGGCAGGGGAGACUGGAAUUCCUGGUGUAGCGGUGAAAUGCGCAGAUAUCAGGAGGAACACCGGUGGCGAAGGCGGGUCUCUGGGCCGAUACUGACACUGAGGAGCGAAAGCGUGGGGAGCGAACAGG